AAGACUGUACUUUCAGGGAUCAUUUCUGUAGUUCGUUAAAAGUUAUAAAGAGUCUUUCACAUGACAAUUUAGUUGAGGUUUUUUUCUUAUUAACUGAUAA
rnacentral:snoRNA from 1 species